rnacentral:lncRNA from 1 species
ACCUGCGACCGAUGAUUGGUGAAGAUGUUCUGAUGAGGGGAUCAUACACAGUUGGACGUAGAAUACUUGUGACCAUGAGGUUCCAUCUUCUGCCCCAAAAAUCUUGAAGUGAAGUUGAAAGGUAUGGUUCAUUGAACUGUGGCUCGAGCUCAACACCUAUCAUGGCUCGAGCCAGGGCUGCUAGCAUGGCUAAAACUAAUUCGAGAAAUAAGUAAAUGUGUAGAUAAUACAGGACCAAGAUAACGUUUGGGUGGAUAAACUCGUGAUAGUCAUAUACACGAAUCAACAAAGCUAAAAGUAUGCCUUUUAUAGCAUAAUUUGGAAAAGAUUUAUGGCAUUUCUUAGAACUAUUUAGAUGUGGGUUCUCUUUGUUUUUACUAUUUAUAUGAGAUCCUUGAGAUGGGUUUUCUUGGAUUUUAAUAGGUAAACAAGCAUUAAGCACAAAACGAGUAAAAGAGGUUGAUGAAUUGUCAGAGGACAAAGGGCCUUUACCAAAAGCAAAAAGUAAGAGCUUGAAAUUUGCAAGCCAGGCAAUGAAGAAAGCUGU